UACGGAGGGUGCAAGCGUUGUCCGGAUUUAUUGGGUUUAAAGGGUAGCGUAGGCGGCUAAUUAAGUCAGCGGUGAAAUUACCACAGGCUCAACUGUGGAACUGCCAUUGAUGACUGGUUGGCUUGAGUACAGAUGAGGUAGGCGGAAUUGACAGUGUAGCGGAUGAAAUGCUUAGAUAUUGUCAAGAACACCUAUUGCGAAAGGCAGCUUACUAGGCUGUAACUGACGCUGAGGCACGAAAGCGUGGGGGAUCAAAACAGG
rnacentral:rRNA from 1 species